rnacentral:rRNA from 1 species
UACGUAGGGGGCAAGCGUUGUCCGGAAUCAUUGGGCGUAAAGAGCGUGUAGGCGGCCAGAUAAGUCCGCUGUGAAAUCUCGAGGCUCAACUUCGAGCUGUCGGUGGAAACUGUCUGGCUAGAGUCCGGAAGAGGAGAAUGGAAUUCCUGGUGUAGCGGUGAAAUGCGCAGAUAUCAGGAAGAACACCCGUGGCGAAGGCGGGUCUCUGGACAGUUCCUGACACUGAGGCACGAAGGCCAGGGGAGCAAACGGG